rnacentral:rRNA from 1 species
AGAAAACUUUGCAAUGUGCGAAAGCACGACAAGGUUAAUCCGAGUGGUUUCUGCUAAAGAAACCUUUUGUCAGUCCUAGAAACACUAACGAAUAAGGGGUGGGCAAGUUCUGGUGUCAGCCGCCGCGGUAAAACCAGCACCUCAAGUGGUCAGGAUGAUUAUUGGGCCUAAAGCAUCCGUAGCUCGUUUUGUAAGUUUUCGGUUAAAUCCAUGCGCUUAACGUAUGGGCUGCCGGGAAUACUGCAUAACUAGGAAGUGGGAGAGGUAGACGGUACUCGGUAGGAAGGGGUAAAAUCCUUUGAUCUAUUGAUGACCACCUGUGGCGAAGGCGGUCUACCAGAACACGUUCGACGGUGAGGGAUGAAAGCUGGGGGAGCAAACCGGAUUAGAUACCCGGGUAGUCCCAGCUGUAAACUAUGCAAACUCAGUGAUGCAUUGGCUUGUGGCCAAUGCAGUGCUGCAGGGAAGCCGUUAAGUUUGCCGCCUGGGAAGUACGUACGCAAGUAUGAAACUUAAAGGAAUUGGCGGGGGAGCACCACAAGGGGUGAAGCCUGCGGUUCAAUUGGAGUCAACGCCAGAAAUCUUACCCGGAGAGACAGCAGAAUGAAGGUCAAGCUGAAGACUUUACCAGACAAGCUGAGAGGUGGUGCAUGGCCGUCGCCAGCUCGUGCCGUGAGAUGUCCUGUUAAGUCAGGUAACGAGCGAGAUCCCUGCCUCUAGUUGCCACCAUUACUCUCAGGAGUAGUGGGGCGAAUUAGCGGGACCGCCGCAGUUAAUGCGGAGGAAGGAGGGGGCCACGGCAGGUCAGUAUGCCCCGAAACUCUGGGGCCACACGCGGGCUGCAAUGGUAAUGACAAUUGGUUCCGAAUCCGAAAGGAGGAGGUAAUCCUCAAACGCUACCACAGUUAUGACUGAGGGCUGCAACUCGCCCUCACGAAUAUGGAAUCCCUAGUAACUGCGUGUCAUUAUCGCGCGGUGAAUACGUCCCUGCUCC